GUGGGGAAUUUUGGACAAUGGGCGAAAGCCUGAUCCAGCCAUGCCGCGUGAGUGAAGAAGGCCUUCGGGUUGUAAAGCUCUUUCGGCCGGGACGAAAUCGCUUCCUUUAACAUGGGGAGUGGAUGACGGUACCGGAAUAAGAAGCACCGGCUAACUACGUGCCAGCAGCCGCGGUAAUACGUAGGGUGCAAGCGUUAAUCGGAAUUACUGGGCGUAAAGCGUGCGCAGGCGGUCUCGUAAGCCAGACGUGAAAUCCCCGGGCUUAACCUGGGAACUGCGUUUGGGACUGCGAGGCUCGAGUGUGGCAGAGGGAGGUGGAAUUCCACAUGUAGCAGUGAAAUGCGUAGAUAUGUGGAGGAACACCGAUGGCGAAGGCAGCCUCCUGGGCUAACACUGACGCUCAUGCACGAAAGCGUGGGGAGCAAACAGGAUUAGAUACCCCAGUAGUCC
rnacentral:rRNA from 1 species